AACGAACGCUGGCGGCAGGCCUAAAACAUGCAAGUCGAACGCCCCGCAAGGGGAGUUGCGCACGGGUGAGUAACGCGAGGGAACGUGCCCUUCACUACGGGAUAACGUCGGGAAACUGACGCAAAUACCGUAUAAUUACUCCGGUCCAACGAUUUAUCGGUGAAGAAGCGGCCCGCGUCUGAUUAGCUAGUUGGUGAGGUAAUGGCUCACCAAGGCUACGAUCAGUAGCAGGUCUGAGAGGAUGAUUUGUCACACUGGGACUGGAACACGUCCCAGACUCCUACGGGAGGCAGCAGUUAGGAAUAUUGGACAAUGUGCGAAAGCCUGAUCCAGCCAUGCCGCGUGUGUGUUGAAGGCCCUAGGGUUGUAAAGCACUUUCGUUGAGGAAGAUAAUGACUGUACUCAAAGAAGAAGCACCGGCUAACUUCGUGCCAGCCGCCGCAGUAA
rnacentral:rRNA from 1 species